rnacentral:rRNA from 8 species
UGGAUAGGAGACAAGAAGGCAUCUUCUUGUUUUUAAAAGACCUAGCAAUAGGUAUGCUUAGGGAGGAGCUUGCGUCACAUUAGUUAGUUGGUGGGGUAAAGGCCUACCAAGACUAUGAUGUGUAGCCGGGCUGAGAGGUUGAACGGCCACAUUGGGACUGAGACACGGCCCAAACUCCUACGGGAGGCAGCAGUAGGGAAUUUUCGGCAAUGGAGGAAACUCUGACCGAGCAACGCCGCGUGAACGAUGAAGUAUUUCGGUACGUAAAGUUCUUUUAUUAGGGAAGAAUAAAUGAUGGAAAAAUCAUUCUGACGGUACCUAAUGAAUAAGCCCCGGCUAACUAUGUGCCAGCAGCCGCGGUAAUACAUAGGGGGCAAGCGUUAUCCGGAAUUAUUGGGCGUAAAGGGUGCGUAGGCGGUUAAAUAAGUUUAUGGUCUAAGUGCAAUGCUCAACAUUGUGAUGCUAUAAAAACUGUUUAGCUAGAGUAAGAUAGAGGCAAGUGGAAUUCCAUGUGUAGUGGUAAAAUGCGUAAAUAUAUGGAGGAACACCAGUAGCGAAGGCGGCUUGCUGGGUCUUUACUGACGCUGAGGCACGAAAGCGUGGGGAGCAAACAGGAUUAGAUACCCUGGUAGUCCACGCCGUAAACGAUGAGUACUAAACGUUGGGUAAAACCAGUGUUGAAGUUAACACAUUAAGUACUCCGCCUGAGUAGUACGUACGCAAGUAUGAAACUUAAAGGAAUUGACGGGACUCCGCACAAGCGGUGGAUCAUGUUGUUUAAUUCGAAGGUACCCGAAAAACCUCACCAGGUCUUGACAUGCUUCUGCAAAGCUGUAGAAACACAGUGGAGGUUAUCAGUUGCACAGGUGGUGCAUGGUUGUCGUCAGCUCGUGUCGUGAGAUGUUGGGUUAAGUCCCGCAACGAGCGCAACCCUUAUUGUUAGUUACCAGCACGUAAUGGUGGGGACUUUAGCAAGACUGCCAGUGAUAAAUUGGAGGAAGGUGGGGACGACGUCAAAUCAUCAUGCCCCUUAUGACCUGGGCUACAAACGUGAUACAAUGGCUGUUACAAAGGGUAGCUGAAGCGCAAGUUUUUGGCGAAUCUCAAAAAAACAGUCUCAGUUCGGAUUGAAGUCUGCAACUCGACUUCAUGAAGUUGGAAUCGCUAGUAAUCGCGAAUCAGCAUGUCGCGGUGAAUACGUUCUCGGGGUUUGUACACACCGCCCGU